rnacentral:lncRNA from 1 species
GUUACAUGCAUAAUGAAGUAUUUAACUUUAUCAUCAUUGCAAGUAUUUUUCAGGAAGAUUCUUCUAGUAAAAGUAAAUUGAAAUCUUGAGAGCUGUAGAAGCCAGAGAAAUAAUAGAUGGGCUAAUAUUGCCCUCUGGUGGAAAUAUUGAGACAUGACAGAUUGGAUCAUUUAUUAAAGACCAUGCCUUUAGCCCAGAGAAAGCCCAGGAAUUGAAAGUUUCCACUCUAUUAUGUGAUCUUACAGUGUUGUGUUAAAUUUUUUAAUUUAAUAUUUAAAACCUGAAUUAUAUUAGAUAGAAGGCUUGAAUAAGCAAUGUACAAAAAAUACAUGAUCAAUCAACUUCUGGAAAAAGUGUUCAAAUUUCAUUAGCAAUACAAAAAUACAAAGUAAGAAAAGACUGAUGUACUGUUUCAUCUCUCAAAUCAGCAGAAAGUUUGAAAACAAAGGGAUAGUGUGAGCAAAAGGGCGUUCAUAUGGUUUGUAGGGACAUAAAAUGCUACUGCGUUCUCAAUCUGGGGUUGUUUUGGUCGGAAGGCUCCGAAGAUGCAUAAAAAUUUGAACAUAUUUGCCCUUUCCUGAGAAGAGAUGCAAAAUCCAUCAGAUUCUCAAAGGGAUUCAUUCUCUCAAAUGUUAAGAACAAAUGUUUAAAUUAUUUGGGAGAAUAAUUUGGCAAAAUGUGCAAGAAAGUUAUGCGUAUGUGUAUUCCAAUAUUGUUUUGAAUGCUUAAUCACUAUAAACCACCUAAAUAUUCAACAGUGGGACAUUUGAAAUAAAUCACACUCCAGUUCUAUGAUAGAGUCAAUGUAGUUAUUAACAAUCGUGCUGUAGAAUUAAUGAUGCCGAAAUGUUCUUUAUACAUGAUGAGGUAGAAAAAGCAGUUUGCCAUUUAGUACAUGUGAUAUGAUCCUGAGUUUAUUGAAACAUAAACAUAUGACGUGCAUGAGAAAAUAUUUGGGAGUAUCCAUGAAAAAUCCCAAUGCCAGUUUGGGUAACUAAAUGCAAUGUGCUUGUCUUUAUUUUUAGAUAAAUUUACAAUGAAUAUAUUACUUUUGUAAUAAAAAGCAUGAUAAAUAUAAUAUAAAAAGGAAUGAUUAAUUUUCUAUCUAUUAGAAGAUUUGACACAGGAGAUUGUUAACUUUUAAUUAAUCAACUGAACUGAAUAGGUACAAUUUGAAAAAGCAUUUUAGAGGACUGGAACAAUAAUUACGUAAUACUCCACAUUGUUACUCUCUGCAGAAAGACCUUCUUAAUAUUUAAAAGCAGUUUAAAAAAUCUGUAAAUUUCCAAGCAAAUAGAAAAAUCUGUGCUAUUCUGGACUUUUACAAGACACUAGAGCCUUUGUGAGUCUUUUCUAGAGCAAGACAGAGUGAAAUAAAAUAGAAUAAAUUAAAAUGAAAUAAUUUAAAAAAUUAGAGCAUUAGCAAAGGUAACUAGGCCACUUUAAAUAUACAAAUAAACUCUUACAAUUUUUUUUGUUAUUUUUAGAAAAAAGUUUACACUUCCUUCACCUUUUAGGAGUGAAAGGAGCAAAGGAAGUAAGAAAGGCUUGGGCCGGAUGUGGUGGCUCAUGCCUGUAAUCUCAGCACUUUGGGAUGCCGAGUCGGUGGAUCACCUGAGGUCAGGAGUUCGAGACCAGCCUGGCCAACAUGGUGAAACCCUCGUCACUACUAAAAAUACAAAAAAUUAGCUGGGCAUGGUGGUGGACACCUGUAAUCCCAGCUACUAGGGAGGCUGAGGCAGGAGAAUUGCUUGAACUCUGGAGGCAGAGGCUGCAGUGAGCCCAGAUCAUGCCACUGCACUCCAGCCUGGGCAACAACAGGAAAACUCCAUCUCAAAAAGAAAAAAAAAAAGAAAAAAAGAAGAAGAGGAGGUGACCAAACAGAACUUCUCCAGUACAAGUCUGUCUGUCAUUCCAUUUGACAUUGUAUUGUAGGCAUAAGCCCUGCCUUCCAGUUCCUUGGCAGUGGUGAAGCAGUAUGGAGCUGGGGCAGGGAGGUGGCACAUUAUAGGACUGUGAGAACACUGCUCCUUUAUACAUAAAAUUCCUACACAAUGGAUCACUUGAGGUCAAGAGUUUGAGACCAGCCUGGCCAACAUGGUGAGACCCUGUCUCUACUAAAAAUACAAAAAUUAGCCCAGCUUGGUGGCAGGCGCCUGUAAUCCCAUCUAUUUGGGAGGCGAGGAAUGAGAAUUGCUUGAAGCCAGGAGGCGGAGGUUGCAGUGAGCCAAGACCAUGCUACUGCACUCCAGCCUGGGUGGCUGGGUGAGACUGUGUCUCAAAACAAAAACAAAAAACAAAAAACAAAACAAACAAAACAAACAAAAAAUUCCUACCCGAGAAGACUCAUGACUCUGGAACACAGUGAGUGCAGCUGUUAUGGUAAGUGAAACAGCUAAUGAUCUGGCAGAACCUUCAAGAUACAAGGUAAAGAGAAAAAAGCCAGGCGCAGGGUAGUCCACUUGCUGUCUUUUGUGUGAAUCUAUCUGUGUUUUUAAAUGCAGAGACUAAAGGAAUUGGCGGUAGGUAGGCAUCGCCUCCAGGGAGUGGAAUUGGAUUACUGGGAGGCACAGAGAGAGGUGUACUUUCUUUUCACUGCAAACCUUUUGUGCAUCCAGCCUUCUGCCUUAAAAAAAAAAAAAUCUGCAUAUGGAUCAUUCUUCAAACAACAGAAAAAGGAAACCAAAUAAAAAAAAAUCUACCCAAAGAAAAUUUUUUCGUAAUAAAAAUUGUUCCAAGCCUCAGAGCUGGCUCCCAUGUUUUGAGCAACAUCAGCUAUUCAUGUAUUCAGCUGAAGCUCAUCCUUAGGUUUUUGAUCAAGCUGUGCCAUGUUUUUCAUUUCCUUUGAUAGGGUUUCUCAGUUCCCGUCUUGUCAGUGAAGUGGUUUUUAGUUGAACUGUUAUUUGCAAUAGAUGAAAGUAAACAGUGCAAGACAUUAAUUGUGGUGUUUCUACUUUAAAAACAAUCAGAUAAAAUUCUAGAACAAGAUUUGCUGUUCGGUAGGAAGAUCAGAUUCUUUUCCCUAUACACUUAAUGCUACGUAUUCAUGCUCCAGUGCAGACUGCUGGCAAGGUAAAGAGGCUGACAACCAGAGUUGUAAUUAGGUCCUGCUUGUUUCCUUUAGAGUUUACAGUCCAGAAAGUUCAUGGAAAUAAUGAGAGUCUUAUAGCAUUUUGUUAUGCAUUGAAAUGUAUUCUCAUAUGUUAAAGUCCUAAUCCCCAGUACUUUAGAAUGUGACCUGAUUUGGAAAUAAGGUCAUUACAGAUGUAAGUAAAGAUGAGGUCACACUGGAGUAAGGUGGGCUAUAAUCCAAUAUGAGCAUGUCCUUGUAGAAAGGGAAAAUAUUUACACAGCCACAUACACAGGGAGAACUCCAUGUGAAGAUGAAGGCAGAGACCAGAGUGAUGGUUCUACCAGACAAGGAAUGCUGAAGAUUGGCAGCAAACUACCACAUGCUAGGAGAGGGUAAUGACACAGAUUCUUCCUUGCAGCAAUCAGAAGAAAGGACCCCUGCUAACACUGGAUCUCUGGCUUCUGGGAUCCAAAACGGUGAGACAAUAAGUUUCUGUUGGUGAAGCUGCUUCAUUUGUGGUAGUUUGUUGCAGCUGCCCUAGCAAACAACUACAUAUUCUAGUCCAAUUAGAAUCAAGAAGCAGAAUAAAAUUGGAAAAGAGAAGGCAGACCAUGACAGGGUGGCCAAAUUAUCUCCUUCUUUUACAACUUUAAAAUCUUUUUUAAUGGUAAAAGAGCAUUCUGUGUGUGAAUAGCAAAAUCGAGAAACUCCGGUUCCCAAAUCGUCAAGAACCCUAACAGGUGUGAUUGAUUGAGCACUGACUACAGGUGCCAGCCCUGGUGCUUGGUGCUUUAACUGGAUUAUCUUUCUUUCUUACAGAUAAUGCACAAGGUUGAUACAAUUCUCUCCAUGUUACAGGUGAAGACACUGAGACUCAGAGAAAUAAGGGGAAAAAAAAAAAAAAAAAAAAAAAAAAAAAAAAAAAUCCCAGGGCUGCACAGGUGUUAAGUAAUGAGCUCAAGAUUUGGGCCCAAGUUUGAUCGGCACUGUCAAAUUAAGAAUUGCUAAACUAUAAAUUCAUCAACUGUAAUUUCGAGAUGUUUCUCCAACCUUUCUUUUGAGUAUGCAGGAUUUGAAUUGUUUUUAGAGAUAGGCUCUCACUCUGUUGCCCAGGCUGGAGCCCAGCAGUGCAGUUAUAGCUCACUGCAGCCUCAAACUCCUGGGCUCAAAUGAUCCUUCCACCUCAGCCUUCCACAGUGCUAGGAUUACAGGCAUGAGCCACCAUUCCCAGACUGAAUUUAUCCAUUUUAGAUAAAAUGCAGAGUGGCAAAGCUGGCAUUGGGGACAGGUUGAAUGGUGGUGCAGUCUUUAGAACCUGAAAAAAGGGGCUGAUUGUGUGUGUGCGUGUGUGUGUGUGUGUAGUGGACAUUGGUAGUCUGUGCUUGUAGUAAAUGAUAGUUCUCCUAAUGAAAUUGAUGUGUUGCGAUGAGACUCUGAAGAACAUGGCAAAAAUCCUUUAGCCUAUUUUUUAUCAUUUUAAGAAUGGAAGGAAAGUUUUACUGUAGGAUAGCCUUAGUGACAUCUGGUGAUUUUGUAACCUGAAGUCAAUUUAUCAAGUCAAGUAGAUUUUCCUGG